CUAUUGUUCGAGAUGCCAAAGUUCGUUUCCGUGGAUGGACAGUCGUGCAAUGUAUUUAAUUAAUUACGAAAGGACCACUAAGAACAGGGGCUUUCGAAAGCUAAUAUUGGCUUCGACAAUAUUUUUCUAUUGAAGCAGGAUUAAAUAUGAAAUUUCAAAUCUGCUCAUCACUUGCUCAAAAUAUCGUUAAAUGUGUCUCCUGGUCGACGAGAGUUAAUGAUCAGUGAGAUGAGUCGGAGCGAAUCGUCAUUCAGCAUGGAAAGCACUCCCAUGUGGCUCGCGCACCACAUGGACUCGACGAAUUACAGCGAAGUUAUUCAUGGCGAAAUUUCACGGUUCCCGAAGCCUCUGCGAACCUUUGCAGCUGUGGCUGCAAUUAUCAUAAUGAUAACCGGACUCGUUGGAAAUUUGUUAACGAUCGUUGCACUCUGUCGAUAUCCAAAAGUGCGAAACGUCGCUGCCGCUUUUAUUGUGAGCCUUUGCGUGGCGGAUUUCAUUUUCUGUUUGCUCGUCCUGCCAUUCGAUUCAACGAGAUUCAUCGAUGCUGGCUGGGCGGAAGUUAGAUUCUUAUGUGCACUUGUGCCGUUUCUUCGAUACGGAAAUGUCGGAGUUAGUCUUCUCUCUGUUGGUGCCAUUACCGUCAACAGAUACAUAAUGAUAACUCAUCACGGUCUUUACAAUAAAGUGUACAAAAAGCACUGGAUCGCGCUGAUGAUCCUAUUCUGUUGGGUAUUCUCUUACGGGAUGCAAUUACCAACGCUAAUUGGUGUCUGGGGCAAAUUCGACUACGACCCCAACUUGGAGACCUGCUCAAUCGUUAAGGAUGCAAACGGACGCAGCUCGAAGACCUUUCUCUUCGUAAUCGCGUUCAUCAUUCCGUGCAUAGUAAUAGUCGCCUGUUACGCCAAAAUAUUUUGGGUCGUUCAUAGCUCGGAGUCAAGGAUGCGGAAACACGCGAAUCCGACAAUCAAAUCACCGCACACACCGGGACGUGACACACGGGAGAUGAAGCAACGUCGGAGCGAGUGGAGAAUCACAAAAAUGGUACUCGCGAUAUUCCUCAGUUUCGUUGCCUGCUACCUUCCGAUCACGAUCGUCAAAGUUACCGAUCACGAGGUCAAAUAUCCGGAGGCUCACGUCAUGGGGUAUUUGUUGCUGUACUUCGCCUCGUGCGUUAAUCCAAUAAUCUACGUCAUCAUGAAUAAGCAGUACAGACAGGCCUACGCAGGGGUCAUUAGUUGCUCGAGGAUUCGGGCCAGUCUCACGCCCCGUGGCAGCAGUGCUCCUGGUGGACAAAACAACUACGGCCAAGGAAUUAUCGAUGCGAGCUAAUGAAAAAAAAGCAUUCGAGCUCACACAAAAACUUUUCUACUAAUGCGGAUUGAGACGGUGUAGCAUGCGUAUUGAUCGAACUUGGAAAAUGAUCUGAAUAGAUUAUUCCAAAGAAUACAGCAAGACGAUGGUAUCAACGGUCUCGAUCGCGAUGAACGCUGUGAAAAAUUCUCAACUAGAGGACGAACUGUGAAAGCACGAACCAAAAGAGGAAGAAGGAGCCCGGAAACAUAUCUAGUUUUUAUUAGGUCGAGAGUCACAAGUCUGCUGGACCAGUUAAAUAAUUGUUAUUCUUUGUAAGGGACCAAGACGCAAGCUAAUCUGUAAGACUCGGUUGUAGGUUACUCUGGCGAUGACAAUAUUACUAUUUUUAUUAGUAAUUCCAUGGCUCGGUGCGGACGACGAAUAAACGUUCAUUUCCAACUAGGUUAAGUUAUUUAUUCAACUGGUUCGAAGUAUGUUAUCCGAGGAAAGACUUGGAUACGGAAAGUACGAGGCGUGUAAAUAUUUUGAUGAAUACACUGCAACUUUGAUUUAUCGAAUCUUGAAUAGUGCAACAUUCCUCACUGUACGAUUCGCAUCAAUCGAAAAAUUGGGUUCGUUGAACAGAAUCCGUUCCGUUGAAGGAAAUUUUGGUGAAUUUAAAAAUAUUUUAUUUUUAUUACCAAAUGAUGCGGUUUAUUUGACUAAAUUAUGAAAAUUCCUUGUGGCUGCAACAACCAGGUGACCGAAGUCCAAUCAUUGUUCGAUCAAGUCGUAUCUUCUGUUGGCUCACACACAGUUUUCAUUUGCUUCAAUGACUAUUGCUUUGAAUAUUUGUUUAACUGUGAUGAGAAUAAUAAACGAAUGAAUUCAUUUCGAUAUUUUGUUCUGCAUUGGCACGAGUUUGUCUAGGCGUACCAAGGCAAUGUCAGUUCGACCAAAAAGUUGUCUCAGUAUGCAGAAAUUAUUUCGUUUUUGUCUCAAUAUUCUGUUACCCUGACCACAACUGAAUUCUUUGCUCGACAGAAACGUUUUUCUCUGGUCACUUGGGUCGACAGAAUUUUCUUUUUAGUCAAGAUACCGAACGACAAAGUAUGGACAAAGUUGUAAAUUUACAAGUGCGAUGAAGAGUCAGUCCCACCGCUGCUCGAACAAUUGAGGCUGCAGUGUACGAGUGACUUUAUUUCUAUUUAGAAUAUCUUCAUAAUAGAUAAUAGUAUGGAUACAUAGGUAUACAUCAAACGAAGUAUUCGUGUAUGUACAAAUUUGAUAAAUCUAAUGUGUGAGUGCGCAAAUAAAAAUAUACAAAGCGAA
rnacentral:misc_RNA from 1 species